rnacentral:tmRNA from 1 species
GGGGAUGAUCGGUUUCGACGAUGUGAGUUGAGACAGGGGAAGCGGGUCGAGGACGCAGAGUUAUCUCGUAAACGCUCUCUGUAAAACAAUAAGUGCCGAAUCCAAGCGCACUGACUUCGCUCUCGCUGCCUAACCAGCGAUAGCAGUCUGUCAGCCCGGGUGUGCCUUCGCCCCGGGACCUGGCAUCAGCUAGAGGGCCACUGCUCCAGCCGUACGUCGCGGGCGUCUGGAGAACACCUACGCGACUGAGUCCGUCGGCCACGUGUCUGCACGAGGGCCGGGACUGAGAAAACGCAAAGCAGACUGCACCCGGAGAAGCCCUGACAAUGCUGCAUCGGACGGGGGUUCAAUUCCCCCCAUCUCCAC